rnacentral:ribozyme from 1 species
GCAGCAGCAGCAGGAACAGUUCGACUGCGCCGGGAACGGAGGCGCGUCAACCGAUAUGCGUCCCGAACUCAAGGAGGCAAUCACAACCUUCGUCC